rnacentral:rRNA from 1 species
UACGGAGGGUGCGAGCGUUAAUCGGAAUUACUGGGCGUAAAGGGUGCGUAGGUGGUUAAUUAAGUUAUCUGUGAAAUCCCUGGGCUCAACCUGGGCAGGUCAGAUAAAACUGUUUAACUCGAGUAUGGGAGAGGGUAGUGGAAUUUCCGGUGUAGCGGUGAAAUGCGUAGAGAUCGGAAGGAACACCAGUGGCGAAGGCGGCUACCUGGCCGUAAUACUGACACUGAGGCACGAAAGCGUGGGGAGCAAACAGG